rnacentral:rRNA from 1 species
GACGAACGCUGGCGGCGUGCUUAACACAUGCAAGUCGAACGGAGAUGUAUUCUAGAAGUUUUCGGACGGACGGGAUGCAGCUUAGUGGCGGACGGGUGAGUAACGCGUGAGCAAUUUGCCCUUUGGAGGGGGAUAACAACGGGAAACCGUUGCUAAUACCGCAUAAGACACGACUCUCACAUGAGGGAUGUGUGAAAGGAGAAAUCCACCGAAGGAUGAGCUCGCGUCCCAUUAGGUAGUUGGUGAGGUAACGGCCCACCAAGCCGACGAUGGGUAGCCGGACUGAGAGGUUGGCCGGCCAUACUGGAACUGAGACACGGGUCCAGACUCCUACGGGAGGCAGCAGUGGGGAAUAUUGGGCAAUGGGGGAAACCCUGACCCAGCAACGCCGCGUGAAGG